rnacentral:lncRNA from 1 species
UAUUAUUAAAGAAAAUUCAGAACUUAAGACAAGCAACCAAAUCUUAAUUCAAAAGACUAAUACCUUAACUAAAGAUAACGAAAGGCUGAACAAAGAAAUAUUAGAACUUAAAAACAAUAAACAAAUCUUAAAAGAGAGUCUCACAAAAGACCUAAAUGGACUAAAAACAGAAAAGGCAAAAAUUGACACUAGAACUUGAAAAGUACAAGCCUUUUGUAGAAAAAUUUACAUAUAGCUCAGAAAAAUUAGAAAUGAUACUUAAUAGUCAACGAGCUGUGUUCAAUAGGGCUGGU